GGCCCAGAUCGUUUACCGUGAAAAAAUUAGAGUGUUCAAAGCAGGCAGAUCCAAUUUUCUGCCACCGAAUACAUUAGCAUGGGAUAAUGGAAUAGGACCCUGUCCUCCUAUUUUCAGUUGGUUUUGGGCAGCGCGAGGACUAGGGUAAUGAUUAAUAGGGAUAGUUGGGGGCAUUAAUAUUUAAUUGUCAGAGGUGAAAUUCUUGGAUUUAUGAAAGAUUAACUUCUGCGAAAGCAUCUGCCAAGGAUGUUUUCAUUAAUCAAGAACGAAAGUUAGGGGAUCGAAGACGAUCAGAUACCGUCGUAGUCUUAACCAUAAACGAUGCCGACCAGCGAUUAGGAGACGUUGAAUACAAAACACCACCAUCGGCGCGGUCGUCCUUGGCGCCGGUCCUUCACGGGUCCGGCGCGAGGGCGGCUUAGCCCGGUGGUACCGGUGAAUGAUUCCCCUAGCAGCUUGUGAGA
rnacentral:rRNA from 1 species